rnacentral:rRNA from 1 species
CGUAACAAGGUCUCCGUUGGUGAACCAGCGGAGGGAUCAUUACCGAGUUUACAACUCCCAAACCCCUGUGAACAUACCUUAAUGUUGCCUCGGCGGAUCAGCCCGCGCCCCGUAAAACGGGACGGCCCGCCAGAGGACCCAAACUCUAAUGUUUCUUAUUGUAACUUCUGAGUAAAACAAACAAAUAAAUCAAAACUUUCAACAACGGAUCUCUUGGUUCUGGCAUCGAUGAAGAACGCAGCAAAAUGCGAUAAGUAAUGUGAAUUGCAGAAUUCAGUGAAUCAUCGAAUCUUUGAACGCACAUUGCGCCCGCUGGUAUUCCGGCGGGCAUGCCUGUUCGAGCGUCAUUUCAACCCUCAAGCCCCCGGGUUUGGUGUUGGGGAUCGGCUCUGCCUUACGGCGGUGCCGCCCCCGAAAUACAUUGGCGGUCUCGCUGCAGCCUCCAUUGCGUAGUAGCUAACACCUCGCAACUGGAACGCGGCGCGGCCAUGCCGUAAAACCCCAACUUCUGAAUGUUGACCUCGGAUCAGGUAGGAAUACCCGCUGAACUUAAGCAUAUCAAU